CAAGUCUCUGCUUACCGACCGCACCACCUCCCACCCCAAGUGUUCUCAGGAACACUGAGAUCUUAUUUGCCACACAUUCUUCCACACCUCCAAUCACAGAGGACAACCAUGGAAGAUGCUGUAACACACCCACAACGUGUAUAGCCUAUAUACAUGUUAGCCAGCUGUAUAGUAUACAUAUGUAUAUAUACAUAGAAGCCAGCACGGCUACUUCUUCCCAUUGCAGAUGCAGAAGAACUUUGGGGAAAAUAACUACAUCCUGUGUAAUGAGUCCUUUGUUCAUACUUGAGUCCAAUCCCAAUGGUGUGUGUCAACUGGCUGACCAUCCAGGUCUCCAUGGAGAUGACAUGACUGCUGGCUCCCCAACAGAGUUUCCAAGCUCAGAAAAAGCAGCAUAGAGGCAGAAUCUCUGGGCCAGAUCAAACAAUGUCCUUGAAUUUGUCCU
rnacentral:lncRNA from 1 species